rnacentral:lncRNA from 1 species
GAUAUCUUCGAAAACAGGAACACCAUACUCCGUGGCGGUGAAACGAAUAUUAAACCCAAUAGCUAUUCAUUAUAACGAACAAAAUGAACUUAUCUAUUGGAGUGAUGUAAGUUUAAAAGAAAUCAGGAGUACUUCCCUCAGCGGACAUGAUGACGUCACAUUGCGCGCUUUAGACAACAGUUCCAUUCCCGACGGUCUUGCAGUUGAUUCAAUAGCGUUAAUGGAAUUAGAUGGUUCCAACCAUGUCGUCGUAGUUAAUAAGGAUUGUGACCAGCCGAGAGCGAUUGUGCUCGAUCCUAUGAAAGGACGAAUUUUCUGGUCGGACUGGGGAAAAUUUCCAAAAAUAGAAACAGCGAACUAUGACGGAAGUGAACGAAAGGCGCUAAUAACAACUGGAAUCCUGUGGCCAAAUGCUUUGGCAAUAGAUUUUGCAGAUCAGUUAAUGUAUUGGGGAGACGCAGGGACACACUACAUCGAAAGGUCAAAAAUAGACGGAUCAGGAAGGAAAAUAUUGUAUUACAACGCCCGGGCGCACUAUUUCUCAAUGCUCCUGUAUUCAGAUAAAUUAUUUUAUUCAGACUGGCAACAAAGAUCUGUAAUGGCAGUGCCCAUAUCCGGUGCAGAAAAUGGCACAGCUGUCGGCAAUGGAUCUUUUGCGAGGCUGAAUGACAUAAGUCGACUGAAACAAAAACCUCUGUAUCCUAGAACGAAUGCGUGUUCAAAGAAUAAAGGUGGUUGUAGUCAUGUAAUGUAUUCCAAGACCAAAGGGGGAAUUCGCCUGUUUAUGUCCAACUAGAUUUCACCUGAAAGACAAUACGUAUUGUACUAAAGCACAUCCCUCUGACUACUGUCCACCAUUAAAUCCUCAAAACUUUACUACAAUUUCGCCGAAUGAUUGUAUGACACACACUUCACCGGUUGGGUAGGUUUGUACAGUCGAAUGCAUGGAUGGCUUUGUAUAUGACGGGUGCAAAACUGAACUGUUUUGCGAGGAGAAUGGGCAAUGGAGCGAUCAAAUUCAUAGCUGUAUUGAUGUGAGUCGCCCUGUCAUUCAUAACUGUCCAUAUGACUGGCAAGUUUUUACUGCUGGUAAGGGCAAGGACAUGGUCACAAUUGAAUGGCCGGAAGUGCAUGUAACUGACAAUAGUGGCAUUGCACCAGACGUCUACUCAUCCAUGAAAAGUGGUAUCACACUACACGAGGGUGAAUAUACUGUAAACAUAUUUGCUGUCGAUCACGUUGGUCAUUUUACGGGCUGUGAAUUCACCUUUAUUAUAAAAGUGCAUCGAUGUGGAGCAAUUCCAAUACCUGAACAUGGCUAUAUACUGUCGGGCUGGUGCCCAAAUCAUUAUGGAGCGAAGUGCAAAAUUUCCUGUAACACUGUUCUUAUACAGAGGCUGCUAACAUAGAAUGUGGCAUUGAUCAAAGUAAUCAAACGAUGUGGAUAGGGGACGAUCUAUUAUGUCAACCAAAAACGUGUCCUCCUAUUACGUCACCAAAUACGUUAGUGACAGGGUGCAGCUAUCCUCUGAACUCCGGAUCUGUUUGUGAGCAAACAUGUAGUGAGGGCUUUGAAAGAAUGCAUGGAACAAUUGUUCGAGUUUGUAAACCUGACGGAUCUUGGUCAGGGCAAGAUCUUGUUUGCAAAGAGAAGUCUGUGGAAUGUCAACAAUUAACUCCCCUGCCUGGUGUACUAGUAUUCGGAUGCUCUUCACCAUACACCAUCGGUAGCAUUUGUGAACAAACAUGUAAUGCAGGAUACAAACCUGAAUAUCCGGUUACCGGUGUAAGAGUAUGCAAACAAGAUGGAACUUGGUCAGGUCAUGAUAUAAACUGCAUGAAAUACGACGGAAGGGCUAAUAAUACGCCACAAUCUAUGGGAGAGACAGAUACAGGAAACGGAGUGACUGAUACCAGUAUUAUUAUAGCAGGUUUGGUUAUAGUUUUAUCACUAAUGGUGAUCAAUUUCGGAAUCUUCCUUCAUUUAAAGAAGCU